rnacentral:ncRNA from 1 species
UGAAACUUUGUACUGAUUAAAAGUUAGCUUAGGUGAAACUUCAUAGCAUGGUAAUUUUAGUGAAAAGGAAAAAUAAAUUCAUUAGAAAUUUCUAUAAACCCAGCAAGAAAUAUUAAACUAUGUUAGAAAUAAUAAUUUAAUUUAGCCUACCUUAGUUAGACCAAUUUGGGUGCCAGCAGUCGCGGUCAUACCUGAUAGCUAAGUUAACUUCAUUAGGUAAGCUAAAGGAUAAAAUUUUUAUAACCAGGUGAAAUUGCUAUAAAAUUAAAUUUUAUUAUCCUGAAAUUUUGCUUAAGCUCUGAAAAUAAACUAGGAUUAGAUACCCUAUUAUAUAGAGUAUAAAUUAACAGACCUAAGCACUAAGACUUUAAAGUUAAAACUUAAACUACAUGGCGGCAGCUGGAAACUUCAGGGGAACUUGCCGGAUAAAUGAUAAUCCUCAAAAAAUUCUACUUUUGCUCAAAAUUUGUAUAUCGCCGUCUUCAGCAUUCAUUUUUGAUGAAACCAUAAUGUAUUGAACAGAAAGACAGGUUAAGAUGCAAUCAAUGUAAAAGCCUUAGGUGAGUUACAAUAUUUAUUCCGAUUUAGUGUUGUUUUGAAAUAAAACAAGAAAAAUGGACUUGAAAGUAAAACUUAAAAAAAAUAUUAAUUGAAUCUUUUUUAACCAGCUGUGUACAAAUCGCCCGUCGCUUUCGUUGAAAAACGAAAUAAGUCGUAACAUAGUAGGUGUACCGGAAGGUGUACCU